AAAAAAGGUAAGCUACUAAGAGCGAAUGGUGGAUGCCUUGACUGGUAAAGGCGAUGAAGGACGUACUAGACUGCGAUAAGCUACGGGGAGCUGUCAAGAAGCUUUGAUCCGUAGAUUUCCGAAUGGGGCAACCCAAUGUAUAGAGAUAUACAUUACCUAUAUAGGAGCGAACGAGGGGAAUUGAAACAUCUUAGUACCCUCAGGAAAAGAAAUCAAUAGAGAUUGCGUCAGUAGCGGCGAGCGAAAGCGCAAGAGGGCAAACCCAGUGCUUGCACUGGGGGUUGUAGGACUGCAAUGUGCAAGAGGUGAGUUUAGCAGAACAUUCUGGAAAGUAUAGCCAUAGAGGGUGAUAGUCCCGUAUGCGAAAAACAAACCUUAGCUAGCAGUAUCCUGAGUAGGGCGGGACACGAGAAAUCCUGUCUGAAGCUGGGUCGACCACGAUCCAACCCUAAAUACUAAUACCAGAUCGAUAGUGCACAAGUACCGUGAGGGAAAGGUGAAAAGAACUGAGGUGAUCAGAGUGAAAUAGAACCUGAAACCAUUUGCUUACAAUCAUUCAGAGCCCUAUGUAGCAAUACAGGGUGAUGGACUGCCUUUUGCAUAAUGAGCCUGCGAGUUGUGGUGUCUGGCAAGGUUAAGCAAACGCGAAGCCGUAGCGAAAGCGAGUCUGAAUAGGGCGCUUAGUCAGAUGCUGCAGACCCGAAACGAAGUGAUCUAUCCAUGAGCAAGUUGAAGCUAGUGUAAGAACUAGUGGAGGACUGAACCCAUAGGCGUUGAAAAGCCCCGGGAUGACUUGUGGAUAGGGGUGAAAGGCCAAUCAAACUUCGUGAUAGCUGGUUCUCUCCGAAAUAUAUUUAGGUAUAGCGUUGUGUCGUAAUAUAAGGGGGUAGAGCACUGAAUGGGCUAGGGCAUACACCAAUGUACCAAACCCUAUCAAACUCCGAAUACCUUAUAUGUAAUCACAGCAGUCAGGCGGCGAGUGAUAAAAUCCGUCGUCAAGAGGGAAACAACCCAGACUACCAGCUAAGGUCCCUAAAUCUUACUUAAGUGGAAAACGAUGUGAAGUUACUUAAACAACCAGGAGGUUGGCUUAGAAGCAGCCAUCCUUUAAAGAAAGCGUAAUAGCUCACUGGUCUAGUGAUUUUGCGCGGAAAAUAUAACGGGGCUAAAGUAAGUACCGAAGCUGUAGACUUGCGCACAACUUAGAUUAUUUAAGUUUAGAAUAUGAGAAACUAAGUUAUAUGUUUAGUUAUAUUUUUACUGAUUUUUAUAGAGUAAAGAUAGAAAUAAAACUUAGUAAAAUCAGUAAAAAUAUUCUUAGACUAAAGUUAAGUAGUUUAAGUUGUGUGCAAGUGGUAGGAGAGCGUUCUAUUUGCGUCGAAGGUAUACCGGUAAGGAGUGCUGGAGCGAAUAGAAGUGAGCAUGCAGGCAUGAGUAGCGAUAAUUAAUGUGAGAAUCAUUAACGCCGUAAACCCAAGGUUUCCUACGCGAUGCUCGUCAUCGUAGGGUUAGUCGGGUCCUAAGUCGAGUCCGAAAGGGGUAGACGAUGGCAAAUUGGUUAAUAUUCCAAUACC
rnacentral:rRNA from 1 species